rnacentral:rRNA from 1 species
UACGAAGGGGGCGAGCGUUGUUCGGAAUCACUGGGCGUAAAGGGCGCGUAGGCGGCCCUCUUAGUCGCGUGUGAAAGCCCCGGGCUCAACCUGGGAACGGCGCGCGAAACGGGAGGGCUGGAGUUCGGGAGAGGAGAGUGGAAUUCCCAGUGUAGAGGUGAAAUUCGUAGAUAUUGGGAAGAACACCGGUGGCGAAGGCGGCUCACUGGCUCGGUACUGACGCUGAGGUGCGAAAGCGUGGGGAGCAAACAGG